GGGAAUACAGCAACCCGCGGUAAUACGGAGGGGUGCAAGCGUUAAUCGGAAUUUCCUGGGCGUAAAGCUCGCGUAGGUGGCUUGAUAAGCCGGUUGUGAAAGCCCCGGGCUCAACCUGGGAACGGCAUCCGGAACUGUCAGGCUAGAGUGCAGGAGAGGAAGGUAGAAUUCCCGGUGUAGCGGUGAAAUGCGUAGAGAUCGGGAGGAAUACCAGUGGCGAAGGCGGCCUUCUGGACUGACACUGACACUGAGGUGCGAAAGCGUGGGUAGCAAACAGGAUUAGAUACCCUGGUAGUCCACGCCGUAAACGAUGUCGACUAGCCGUUGGGGUCCUAGAGACCUUUGUGGCGCAGUUAACGCGAUAAGUCGACCGCCUGGGGAGUACGGCCGCAAGGUUAAAACUCAAAUGAAUUGACGGGGGCCCGCACAAGCGGUGGAGCAUGUGGUUUAAUUCGAUGCAACGCGAAGAACCUUACCUACCCUUGACAUCGUGCGAACUUGGUAGAGAUACCUUGGUGCCUUCGGGAACGCACAGACAGGUGCUGCAUGGCUGUCGUCAGCUCGUGUUGUGAAAUGUUGGGUUAAGUCCCGUAACGAGCGCAACCCUUGUCCCUAUUUGCCAGCGAUUCGGUCGGGAACUCUAGGGAGACUGCCGGUGACAAACCGGAGGAAGGUGGGGACGACGUCAAGUCAUCAUGGCCCUUACGGGUAGGGCUACACACGUGCUACAAUGGCCGGUACAAAGGGUUGCAAAGCCGCGAGGUGGAGCUAAUCCCGAAAAGCCGGUCUCAGUCCGGAUCGGAGUCUGCAACUCGACUCCGUGAAGUCGGAAUCGCUAGUAAUCGUGAAUCAGAAUGUCACGGUGAAUACGUUCCCGGGCCUUGUACACACCGCCCGUCACACCAUGGGAGUGGACUGCACCAGAAGUGGUUAGCUUAACCCUCGGGAGAGCGAUCAUCCA
rnacentral:rRNA from 1 species